rnacentral:tRNA from 1 species
GGACUUGUAGCUCAAAUGGUAGAGCGGGGGAUUGAAAAUCCCUGUGAGGCGGUUCGAUACCGUCCGAGUCCA